UUUCCGUAAGUGAACCUGCGGAAGGAUCAUUAUUGUAUAACCGAGGUGCGAGGGCUGUCGCUGACCCGAAAGGUCGUGCACGCCCGAGUGCCCUCACACACAUCCAUCUCACCCCUAUGUGCACCACCGCGUGGGUCCCCCUUUGGCUUGUUCGGAGGGGGGCUUACGUUUUCACACAAACUUUGUAUGCAGUGUAGAAUGUAUUUUUGUUUUUGCGAUCACGCAAUCAAUACAACUUUCAACAACGGAUCUCUUGGCUCUC
rnacentral:misc_RNA from 1 species